GUGAUUUCUCGAUCGACUGGGCGAUGACGCCCAAGGGCGUGUUGCUGUUGCCGGUGUCUAAUCCGCCUCUGUCUCCGCCGCUACGGGAGGGCUCCGCAUGACCAGGCGUAGCGCCUUCGCCGCCUUCUCCUACGUGGCCGGCGCGCCGUGCUUCUGGUUCCAUUCAUCAAAGCUGCUCUAUCCUCGUAUGGUUUCCCCUGUGCUAAUGUUAUUACUCUUUUGAGAAUGUCUUUAGAGAUUAUUUUAGCAUCUUCAUGGUAAAGAGCCCGCUUGUGGAUACAGCUUGGUCUAAGAAAGUUAUUAAGCUAUAAGGAUAUGAUCUUGGACAGAGAUGGGGCCCUUGACAUGGGACUUAAUGGGGGAUUGUUAAGUUUCUGAAAAAGGUUUAAGGUUCUCAAUAAGCAGCUCGGGUGAAGAUCUAACCAGGUUCUCAAAAAGCAGCGAGUGCAAUUAAAUUGUUAUUGGUGUAGAUCUAACGAGGUUCGCAGCAAAGCAGCUCGGAUGCAAUUAACUGUUCUUGGUGAAGAUCCAACAAGGUUCUCAACGAAGCAGCUCGGAUGCAAUUAAUUGUUAUUGGUGAAGAUCUAAUUAGGUUCUCAACAAAGCAGCUCAGGUGCAUUUCACUGUUCUUGGUGAAGAUCUAACGGGGUUCUCGACAAAGCAGCUCCGGUGCAAUUAACUGUUCUUGGUGAAGAUCUAAUGAGGUUCUUGACAAAGCAGCUCGGGUGCAAUUCAAUUAACUACUGUUGGUGAAGAUCUAACGAGGUUCUCCACAAAGCAGCUCCGGUGCAAUUAACUGUUCUUGGUGAAGAUCUAAUGAGGUUCUCAACAAAGCAGCUCAGGUGCAAUUCAAUUAACUGUUCUUGGUGAAGAUCUAUUGAGGUUCUCGACAAAGUAGCUCGGGUGCAAUUAACUGUUCUUGGUGAAGAUCUAAGGAUGAUCUCGACAAAGCAGCUCGGAUGCAAUUAAUCGUUCUUGUUAAAGAUCUAACAAGGCUCAGGUGCAAUUAACUGUUCUCGGAUAGGUGUAAAUUCUUUGUUUAUAUGAUCAGUGCCUUCUGAAACAAUUGAUAUUUAUGUAUGAGAAACAGUACAUUAGCAAAAUAUUGGCCUUCUGCUGACCGUAAAAAUAAAUCGAUGAUAUUGAGACUUCGACUAUAAUUAAAUAUGGUUUUUCGAUCUUGGUUGAUUCAA